UACGUAGGGUGCAAGCGUUAAUCGGAAUUACUGGGCGUAAAGCGUGCGCAGGCGGUUGUGCAAGACAGAUGUGAAAUCCCCGGGCUCAACCUGGGAACUGCAUUUGUGACUGCACGGCUGGAGUGCGGCAGAGGGGGAUGGAAUUCCGCGUGUAGCAGUGAAAUGCGUAGAUAUGCGGAGGAACACCGAUGGCGAAGGCAAUCCCCUGGGCCUGCACUGACGCUCAUGCACGGAAGCGUGGGGAGCAAACAGG
rnacentral:rRNA from 1 species